rnacentral:rRNA from 1 species
AUUGAACGCUGGCGGCAGGCCUAACACAUGCAAGUCGAACGGUAACAGGAAGCAGCUUGCUGCUUUGCUGACGAGUGGCGGACGGGUGAGUAAUGUCUGGGAAACUGCCUGAUGGAGGGGGAUAACUACUGGAAACGGUAGCUAAUACCGCAUAACGUCGCAAGACCAAAGAGGGGGACCUUAGGGCCUCUUGCCAUCGGAUGUGCCCAGAUGGGAUUAGCUAGUAGGUGGGGUAACGGCUCACCUAGGCGACGAUCCCUAGCUGGUCUGAGAGGAUGGCCAGCCACACUGGAACUGAGACACGGUCCAGACUCCUACGGGAGGCAGCAGUGGGGAAUAUUGCACAAAGGGCGCAAGCCUGAUGCAGCCAUGCCGCGUGUAUGAAGAAGGCCUUCGGGUUGUAAAGUACUUUCAGCGGGGAGGAAGGGAGUAAAGUUAAUACCUUUGCUCAUUGACGUUACCCGCAGAAGAAGCACCGGCUAACUCCGUG